UCCUGCCGCCCUGCCUCUCUUGGAUUUGCUAAGUGCCCCUUUUAGCCCUGAAGUUCCCCGAGUCUCCCUCCAACUUGAAAGUCCCUGGGAUCCAGCUCUGAACUCUACCCAGGAGGAUCUAAAGGCUGUUAUACGAAGGUCCCCUUCCCCAGCCCUCCCUGGCAUAAUGCCCCUGCCCAGGGCCACUCCUCUGGUGGCCUCACAGAGCCCCUGGCCGUUUCCCAGUAGCCUCUGCUCUGUCCAGCAGACACACGCCGCCUGCUCUCCACAUCUAGACCCUUAAAGCAAUUUCCCCUCUGUCGGGCAAAGCUGUGACAGGAAAGGGACAGGACCUGAGCCCUGUUUGGGAAACGAAUUGUGCAACAUUGUCCUACGAGGGAAAGCAUGCAGCCAACGGGAAAGACAGCCUGAAGAAGCCAGAGCUUUCUUUGAAAUGAAGAUCUUGGCAAGACCCACAGAAAAAUGUCCUUUUGGACACCACAAACUCUGGGUCACUGCUAAUUUAUUCCAACCCUGGUUGCAGUGUCUGGUCCCAGCAUUCCUGGAUUCAGAGCCUGGCUAGGUCACUGUCAAGUGUAUGUGGAGUUGGGAGGCAGAGGAUAACCUGCACUCCAGUCUGUUUGUACCCAAAGAAGGACUGAGUCCACAGCCCAUUCAUCUGGGCCUCCUCUCCCUAGGCCAGCAAGUAACACAUUCUCAGCAUCAGGCUGGAGUGAAGUAGCACAAUCUUGGCUCACUGGAACCUCUGCCUCCCAGCUUCAAGUGAUUCUCCUGCCUCGGCCUCUUGAGUAGGCUGGGACUUACAGGUAUGUACCACCAUGCCUGGCUAAUUUUCGUAUUUUCAGUAGAGAGGGGGUUUCAUCAUGUUGGCCAGGCUGGUCUUGAACUCCUAACCUCAAGUGAUCUGCCUGCCCCAGGCUCCUAAAGUCUCAAGAUUACAGGUGUGAGCCUCAGUGGCCAGCCUGGCAGAUUUCUUAUCAGUUUCACAGAUGAGGGAACUGGGGCUCCAAAGAGGUCACAUAACCCCCACCACCACCCCUCCACCCUUCCCCCAUCCCCACCCAAGCCACAGGUAGUGGUUUGAGGCACCCGAAUCCAAACCAGGUCUGCUGGAUUCUCCCCUGCCCACCACCAGGUCCCUCACAAUUUUGUUGAUGGGAGACAAUAUUUAACGAGUGACUCACGAAGUGACUCGAGUGUAAAACCUCGAUCUGUGCAGUGUUUUCCUUAGAAAGUUCCUCAUGAUCUCAGUGCCAUCAUACUCUGGUUCCCGCCUCCCCUUGCAGCACUGAGCACCCAUCCCAUUCCCACCUUUGCCCUUCAGGUAUAACCCGUGGCUGGUUCCCCUCCUUAGAAAGUGUGUUCACGAAGGCCAGGACCACAUCCCCUGCACCAGGCACAUAGUAGGUGCUCAAUAAAGAUUUCCAAAUGAAUGCA
rnacentral:lncRNA from 13 species